UACGGAGGGAGCUAGCGUUGUUCGGAAUUACUGGGCGUAAAGCGCGCGUAGGCGGUCCAUCAAGUCAGAGGUGAAAGCCCGGGGCUCAACCCCGGAACUGCCUUUGAAACUGGCGGACUAGAAUCUUGGAGAGGCGAGUGGAAUUCCGAGUGUAGAGGUGAAAUUCGUAGAUAUUCGGAAGAACACCAGUGGCGAAGGCGGCUCACUGGCCCGAUACUGACGCUGAGGCACGAAAGCGUGGGGAGCAAACAGG
rnacentral:rRNA from 1 species